GAUCACUGCUAUUGGAAUUCGGCUAAGGCAUGCGAGUCGAGAGGGUUCGGCCCUCGGCAGACGGCUCAGUAACACGUGGAUAAUCUGCCCUUAGGUGGGGAAUAAUCUCGAGAAAUUGAGCAUAAUGCCCCAUAGCUUUAGAAUGCUGGAAUGCUUCUAAGGCAAAAGCCCCGGCGCCUAAGGAUGAGUCUGCGGCCUAUCAGGUUGUAGUGAGUGUAACGGACACACUAGCCGACGACGGUUACGGGUCCUGGAAGGGAGUGCCCGGAGAUGGACUCUGAGACACGAGUCCAGGCCCUACGGGGCGCAGCAGCUACGAAAACUUCACAAUGCGGGAAACCGCGAUGAGGGAAUUCCAAGUGCUUAUACUUUGUAUAAGCUGUUUACUUGCCUAAAAAGCAGGUAGAGUAAGGGCUGGGUAAGACUGGUGCCAGCCGCCGCGGUAAUACCAGCAGCUCAAGUGGUGAUCGUUUUUAUUGGGCCUAAAGCGUCCGUAGCCUGUUUGGUAAACCCUUGGGUAAAUCGGGCAGCUUAACUGUCCGAAUUCUGAGGAGACUGCCAGACUUGGGACCGGGAGAGGUCAGAGGUACUCUUAGGGUAGGGGUGAAAUCCUGUAAUCCUAAGAGGACCACCAGUGGCGAAGGCGUCUGACUAGAACGGGUCUGACGGUAAGGGACGAAGCCCUGGGUCACGAACCGGAUUAGAUACCCGGGUAGUCCAGGGUGUAAACGCUGCGGGCUUGGUGUUGGGGGUCCUACGAGGGCAUCCAGUGCCGGAGAGAAGUUGUUAAGCCCGCCGCCUGGGGAGUACGAUCGCAAGGCUGAAACUUAA
rnacentral:rRNA from 1 species